rnacentral:rRNA from 1 species
GAUGAACGCUAGCUACAGGCUUAACACAUGCAAGUCGCGGGGUAACAUCUGGUAGAGCUUGCUUCCGAUGGGCGUCGACCGGCGCACGGGUGAGUAACGCGUAUCCAACCUGCCCACCACUUGGGGAUAACCUUGCGAAAGUAAGACUAAUACCCAAUGAUAUCCCACGAAGGCAUCCGAAUGGGAUUAAAGAUUUAUCGGUGAUGGAUGGGGAUGCGUCUGAUUAGCUUGUUGGCGGGGUAACGGCCCACCAAGGCAACGAUCAGUAGGGGUUCUGAGAGGAAGGUCCCCCACAUUGGAACUGAGACACGGUCCAAACUCCUACGGGAGGCAGCAGUGAGGAAUAUUGGUCAAUGGGCGAGAGCCUGAACCAGCCAAGUCGCGUGAGGGAAGACGGUCCUACGGAUUGUAAACCUCUUUUGUCGGGGAGUAACGUGCGGGACGGGUCCCGUAUUGAGAGUACCCGAAGAAAAAGCAUCGGCUAACUCCGUG